UGAAGUUUGAAUCUAAAUCAGUCAAAUCAGACUCAUCCCUUCAAUUAAAAUGAGGGAGGUCAUUUAAGAUCAAACACAGAGCUGAAAUAGCCUCUCACUGUUACCAAGAAGACCACAGGGUGCCGAACCUGCCAGGUGUUUUUCUUAAUUAGUUAAUUGGUUGCAUCUGGUGCGUUUCACUUAAAAGGGAACCGGACACUACAUGUGUUUGUACUGUCUCUUCCAGUUUCAUAGGUUAAAGACUUUUUGAAGUAAAGAGGAGCAUCUCAUCUGAACCUGAUGUCUAUCUUGGAUAUUUAACUGCAGUUCUGUGAGUAUCCCAACUUAACCAUGAAGAUGAACUGCAAACUGUAAGUCAUUAAUUUGUCAUUACUCUUGGGCACAUUGAUGUAUUUUGGCUUCCUGGUGGGUUAACCUGUUACCUGAAGGUUGAUCUGAGUAGUAAGGAUGUUUUAUUGGUUCAUGGGUUACUUAGGUGUUUGGUUUAUGUUGGUUUUAAUGAUUUGUUAAAAUGGUUACAGGCUCCAAGUUAUUGUUGUAAGAUGGAGUAAUGGGUUUGGUUCUGAUAUCUUUAGUCUUCUUUCAUUCUACUCUCCUGAGCUCUGCAUCUUCAUCACAUGAGUGUUGCUCUACUGUGAGGGUGUGGUCUGAGUGAGCAGAGGUGCAUACUGGGAUACAGAGCUGUCUCGAGUCUACAGGUCUGUAGACACGCCCCUUCAGGGGAAACCGAGUUUUUGAGAAACCGUCGUGACGUUAGUUACAUGGACUGGAAUGUUCUUAAAGAUGGAGACAGGGAUUCAGAAGGAGAAACACCAGGGGGAGAUGAGGGGCUCCUCAUCUCAACGACUAAAACACAACUUCAGUCUGACACAAAGAACCAUGGAACACAUUCAACAGUCCCCUCCAGGCAUCGUGACUCCUCAGGAACAGUUUCAUUUCCAAGAAGGUCUUAUUUGGGGCCAUCCCCAUAUGGAUCCUGCUCCUCAAGAGCCAACCCCCUCCACUGGGUGGUCUUCUGAACAGAUGACCUCCUUCCUGUCCUCAGGCUGACUAAAGCUGCACCGUUUGCAUCUGUGAAGGCCCCUCAUUCAGGAAACCACUGGACUACAAAGACGUGACUACAGAGACGUUGAAUCAACCUGGGACAUCAACCUGAGACGCCAAGCAUAAUCCAUCACCAAUGUGGGACGCCACUGAAGAAUGUUGUACAUAAUUUACGUCUCUGGAGACAUUGGUUGUUCUGUUCUGGGUGCCCUGGCAGGAGAGCUGGGGGUGGAUGAUGGAAUGGUAUUUGCUAUGAGGUUUUUACCCUGCAUGAUUGUUUGGCCUUUUAUGGCUCAGUGGUGUGUGUGUGUGUGUGUGUGUGUUUGACAUGAGAUGGAAGAUUUUUGAGCAUCUCUAGGGUUCUACUGUGUGUGUGUGUGUGUGUGUGUGUGUGUGUGUGUGUGUGUCACUCCCUGGCAUGGGGUUCUACGUGCCUGUCCUGGGUUCUAUGUGUGUGUGUGUCCGGCUUGCUUUGACAGUGAUAAUGUUCAUACGGGGGUCUGUGUGAUUGGCUUGGGAUAUUGGAAUGGUCAACUAAAUCAUACCUGAUGGACGGCCACACGUUUACUUAAGGGCCUCCAGUAGACAUGAAGAGCCCUGAGCGACGCUCCGGAGUGAGAUCCAACACACUGGGCAGGAAGGAGAGUGUCCAACUCAAGUGUAAAAGGAUGCAAGCGGCGUGUUCAGAUCAGUGACUUCAAACUAGGACUACACCAAUCAGGAUCAAUGGAGGAUGGACACCUAAAGGAAUUCCACAAGGAGAGUGACGUUGGAAAGGGACCUAAAUGGAUGUUCAAGAUGACCUUCAGACCUGUAAUGAGACGGCUCUUCCUACCUGGCUGGAUUGAUGGAGAGCCCUGUGGAUCUUGUCUUGCUCUCAGUUGCACUUCUUCUCAGGCUGAACUGUAUUUGUUUCGGACAGGACUAGCUGAACGAUUGGUUCCCUUUUAACCAGAACCAAUCCGGGAACUCCAGCUAGUGCGCUCUUCGAGCUGAAGUUGUGCUCUUCAGCUGAGGAGGUAAGGAAACCUUCACUGGGGCUUCAAGGUGUAAAGAGGAGAAUGUUUCAAAGUGUUCUAUGGUACUCUGAUGAAGACCGUUGUGUUCCACUGGCUGCGAGGAAGAACCCUCACAUCUUCCUCUUGGCCUUUCUCCUCUGAGAAUCCUGGCGCCAUCUUGAAGGAUAUUCCAGCUCAUGUAACUGAUGUCACGACAGAUUCUCAAACACUUGGUUUCUCCUGAGGGGCGCGUCUAUGGAACUGAAGACUUCCGACAGCACUGUAUCCCAGCAUGCAUCUCUGCUCACUCAGACCACACCCCCAUGAGUAGGAUGCAACACUCUAGUGAUGGAGUUGUAGAGUUUUAUAAGUAACUAGGGAGCAGACUAAGGUGAUUGGAACCCAAUGGAAUGUCAAGUCUGUAUAUUUUUAAGCCAUGAAGAUGGUUGGAUAGUUCAGGAAUUGGGCUUCUUUUUAUUAUUGGCAGUCCUUUCACUCAGAUGCCCACUUCUCACUGGAGCUGUACAUGUGAUGGCUGGCAUGAUUCGCUGUUGGUGAUGAGGCGGUCAGGGUGACGUUGCAGGGCUAUGGUCGGCUCUCUGUGAGCUCAACGUUUAGAUUUGCUCUGUAUGGUUUGUACCCUGAAUAAUCUAGAUAAUUGUAAAAUGUAGACACGGUUUUGUAUUGAAUGAUUCCCGGUUUUUAGGUUUAAGGUUGUUGUGGGACGUACAUGGUAGUUUGGUUCUUCGUAUGGUUUUGAGUGAUAUAACUUGUACACACCGGGUGCAUAAUAAUGUAAAGGUACACUGAAUAGUAUUAAUGACCAACAGCAACAAACAGAUCUCCUCAAGGUAAGUCUGUUGGCUGUGUUCUAAUGAAGACCAUCGCUGGACUUCAGGAUCUUCCUCCGUUCAGCUCAAGGUGAGGCGCUGGUUCUGUUUUUUCUUUGGUUGGUUCCGGCCGGAAUGUUCGUAUUCCAGUCGGACGGUUUGUGCUUCCCGCCGUGGAAGGUUCUGAGUGCGGUCACUUGAUUUAGUCCCAAUGGUUAGCAUAGAACGUUGUAGUCUUGACAACCAUAAUAAACCACCUGGCAGUUAGUUUGACGGGAGUCCCCUGAGGGAAUCUGGCGGAACGUUCUUGAUUGUAUUUGCGUAACCUCGAGGCGUUGCCAAUGGAAACAAUUUUUUCAGUCGGUUUCCAUUGGGAAUUGUUGCCCCUAUCUUAAACAACUAAAGUUUGAUAUUAAAUACAUACUGAGACGUACGUCGUACAAUACGUUGAUAAUUUCCGAUGGUUGCGCCGUACUUUUAACCACGAUGACGUUGCGGGACUCUCUGCGUUCAAAACGGCGUUCUACUUGCGGGCCCAUUUUUGACAUCAGUGAAGGCUGAAAAUCAUUUCAAGGUGGAAGAUAAUUUGACAUUUCUUCAACGGAACCCAGCACCUGAAUAUGGCUGAGUAUAUUUGAUUUAAUAUCGAUACUGCUUAGUGUUCUUUGUUACUUCAGCUUUCGUACGUUCUAAAUAUCUGGUGUCAAUAAUUGCCACAGAAGUUAAACCCUACCCAAUGGAAUGACGUUAAACAACGACUUUGGUGCAGAGUUACCAACUGGAUAAUAUCAAAGCUAAAAUAAUGGCCGUCAUUCCCACAUGUUACAGUAGAAGAUACUCUAGAACUGUACAAGGUUAAAAAGGUAAAGUGUAGUUUGUCCCAAGGUGUCUGCCUCCUCACCCAGAGCCAGACCUCCACCUCCUCACCCAGAGCCAGACCUCCACCUCCUCACCCAGAGCCAGACCUCCACCUCCUCACCCAGAGCCAGACCUCCACCUCCUCACCCAGAGCCAGACCUCCACCUCCUCACCCAGAGCCAGACCUCCACCUCCUCACCCAGAGCCAGACCUCCACCUCCGGUCAGAAGUCCUCCAGAACAGCUGAAAGGCGAGGCUGAGAGGCUGGGGACCAGAGGCUUGUGGUGCCAGGAUGGACCCGAGACUGAGGCUGGAGACCAGGGGCCUGCAGCACCGGACCAGAGGACCAGGAAUCUGGAGGACUGAUGGAGAAGCCGUACAUCUGGAAGGCAAAUCCUGAGGACCACCAGGACUCUACCAUCAAGGAUUCCUCAUAAAUGUGCAGUAUCUGGACAUAGUGGACUAGACACAGCUGAGCUGAACCUCACCUGAUCCUGUUUGGUCGGGGGUAGACAGACCUGAGCUAAACCCGCCCUGAUCCUGACAUCCUGCUGGUCCCGUCUCCUCAGUUCAUCUGAGCCUCGUCCUCCAGAAGACCUGCUGAGCUCAGCAGUCUGAGGCUGAUGGAUCAAUGACCUCCAGUGGGAGUGUUCUUCUUGACCCCACAAGUAACCGUGUGCUUCCACACGCCUUUCCCUCACGUCUGUCACUAACCUCACUACUUCACUACUCUCUACUGCUUCCUCUUUUUUUUCCUUCUGUGGUUCGAACCUUUACACGGAAGGCGCGUCUUCCUGCCCUCAGAGGGUUUAGCGUUAGGGUUGAGUGUCAGGGUUUAGAGUCAGGGACAGAGCUGGUCAGGGAGGACUGCUUUUACAAAAACCUCUUCACUUGCUUUCGGAAUGGUGGUGACAUUUUGAAAAGAUUAAUUUGGGAAAAUGUUUUCCUCUGCUUUCCUUUACAAAAUUGUAUCAAACUUAUGUCAAGUGUUUUUGUUUAUAUAUUAAAAUCCCACAUUGACUUCUACAUGUUUGUUACGGUUCAUUUAAUUGUCCUUUAACUUGGUUAUGUCAAGCUAAACUCCCGCAAUACAUUUAAUAUACAUGAUUGUUAUUCUGCAAUGUUCACAUAAUCCAUUUUGUAAAAAUAUGAAACCUCCAUAUUACUACUAAAUUCAGGCCUAUUAAUGUAUUUAACAGACCUGCAAACUCCUCAGAGGAAAAAAGGUGACAGUGUCACGGGG
ensembl:lncRNA